rnacentral:rRNA from 1 species
GAGUUCGCUUCUGGCUCAGGAUGAACGUGGGCGGUGUGCCUAAUACAUGCAAGUCGAACGGAGAUAAUAGCAAUAUUGUCUUAGGGCGAAACGGGUGAGUAACGCGUUGGUGAUCUGCCCCGAAGUGGGGAAUAACAAUUCGAAAGAAUUGCUAAUACCCCAUGUGAUCUUAGAGAUUUGAUGCUCUUUGAUUAAAGGAUUUAUUCGCUUCGGGAGGAGCCUGCGUCCCAUCAGCUAGUUGGUAAGGUAAUGGCUUACCAAGGCGAUGACGGGUAGGGGACCUGAGAGGGUGGCCCCCCACAAUGGAACUGAAACACGGUCCAUACACCUACGGGUGGCAGCAGUAGGGAAUAUUAGUAAUGGGCGAAAGCCUGAACUAGCAACACCGCGUGUGCGAUGAAGGCCUUCGGGUUGUAAAGCACUUUUAGAGAGGACGAGGAAGGACGGUACUCUCUGAAUAAGUCUCGGCUAACUACGUGCCAGCAGCCGCGGUAAAACGUAGGAGGCGAACGUUAUCCGGAUUUACUGGGCGUAAAGCGCGUGUAGGUGGUUUGGUAAGUAGGGCGUGAAAGCUCCUGGCUCAACUGGGAGAGGUCGUUCUAAACUGCCGGACUAGAGGAUGGUAGAGGGAAGUGGAAUUCCGGGUGUAGCGGUGGAAUGCGCAGAUAUCCGGAGGAACACCAGUGGCGAAAGCGGCUUCCUGGACCAACCCUGACACUCAGACGCGAAAGCUAGGGUAGCAAACGGGAUUAGAGACCCCGGUAGUCCUAGCCGUAAACGAUGUAGACUUGACGUCGGUGGUUUAAUAUCCAUCGGUGUCGUAGCCAACGCGAUAAGUCUACCGCCUGGGGACUACGGCCGCAAGGUUAAAACUCAAAGGAAUUGACGGGG